UAAUCAGUUUACAACAUGGAUGAUGACUGUUGCAAACAUCAACUCCAGCUAACAGAGGACUGGGGGAAGCACUCAUCUCCGUGCUCAAGCGUGUGUCGGUCGGUCGACCUUCGCCAAAAUAGUGGUCAGGACCAGUUUGACACGAUUGACUUGUCGGACAACGAGAUUGUCAAGCUUGAGAACUUCCCUUUCAUGAAUCGCCUAGGGAGCCUCAACCUGCUUACAACUUACAACGCAGGUGAUGCCCAGCCCCCAGGGAGCUCUGCAUCCAUGUCUCGGCCGUCCUCCACAGGAAGAACCUGAUCCAAAGGAGCAAGCAGCGCUGCUGGUUCCUUCGAGGAUGCGUGCUCCUGGUCGAGUCUUGUGGAGAAGUAGGGCGAAUCGGGCAUCGUCUCACUUGUGCUGUUGUGGUGAAUGAGGUUUUCAAAUGUUGAAGGAGGAGGACAAUAGGAACUUCUGUUAUGUCUUAUCAUCUAAAUUUCUGUUUUAAUUUUCUUUCAUAGAAUAGUUUUGUUUGGUACUUACUAUUCUUAGGAUGUAAAGAUAUGUAUUGCUGGAAUGAAUGGUUGUAAUAUUAUAACAUUGCAUGUUGCUUUGAAAAUGUAUCAGAACUGGGCUAGGUCCAAGAUAACUUGUGGUGUGAUGUGUUGUAAUGUU